rnacentral:rRNA from 1 species
GUGCUACAAUGGCGCAUACAAAGAGAAGCGACCUCGCGAGAGCAAGCGGACCUCAUAAAGUGCGUCGUAGUCCGGAUUGGAGUCUGCAACUCGACUCCAUGAAGUCGGAAUCGCUAGUAAUCGUGGAUCAGAAUGCCACGGUGAAUACGUUCCCGGGCCUUGUACACACCGCCCGUCACACCAUGGGAGUGGGUUGCAAAAGAAGUAGGUAGCUUAACCUUCGGGAGGGCGCUUACCACUUUGUGAUUCAUGACUGGGGUGAAGUCGUAACAAGGUAACCGUAGGGGAACCUGCGGUUGGAUCACCUCCUU